rnacentral:lncRNA from 11 species
CAACUCACCAUUUUGCCACCCUUUUCUUUUCAAAGAAUGUUAAAUACAUUGAGAACAGCAAAAAUACCAUCAAAGCUGCCUCCAUACAUCCAAACACUCCUUACUAAAGACCCUAUAUACAUCACCUUGCUAAUUGAAGCAGCCAGAUAUAGACCAAAUUGGGCCUGUGUGCACACAGACUAAGAACCAUAAUGAAUGAUCAUGGAUUUCAAGGCACAUAAGAUACUUUGAUUGCUGCGAAUGCCUCUGAAGCUAAGGAAGUCUGGAACCAUAUGUUUGUCUACCUAGGAGAUGGCAUAGCAAGAGAAAGACACUCUGAGCUCCUUAGGGGAAGAGCAGAAUCAAUGUCACAAAUAAUAAGCUGAAGAGACAAAAAAGAUAGAGCUGUGUUGGAGUGUAGCAUGCUGAAAUGCACAGAAGGGGAGUUGUUACUUAUAAAGUGUUUCAUAGUAUAUAGCAUGGAAUCAUA